ACUGAAUAUAUAAUACUUGGGCAGUAGUCCGUGACUGUGACCAGUGAUGGCCCCUAUAGCAGGGGGAAAAGUGACUGCCAGUUUUGCUACAUAAUCGUUAUAAUUCAUAAAAAAAAAGAUUAACGUUUUUCAAAUGACGAGGAAGCCAAAUGAGCGAAAAGAAUAUUAUAGAAAAUUAAGAAUCCAUGGAAGAAGAUGUAAUGGCAGUAGUGAAGAGACCAUUAUCCAUAAGUUAUUUUGUGUUCCAUCUGCUACUUUGCAAAAGAACAAAAAUAUGCCAAAUUUAUUACUGUUUUAUUGGUGAAGAUAUCCCGAAUUCGUUUCAGAAAAUGCAGGAUAUUACAACUUGCAAAACCACAAAAAUUACAAUAUAAUUUCUCCAAACUAUCGUCAAACCAACAUCUAAUAAUAAGAUGAAAAUUUAUUCCCAUCAAAUAUAUCUUCAGUGCCUCCAUGAAAACAAUAUUUUAAGAUUCUGACUAAUGGAUUCUUAUUCCGAGAUAUUAGGCAGAAAUAAUAACACUGUUUGUUUCAAGUAUGUAAAGUUCUAGUAUUUAGAAGUGACAGUCCAGGAAAAGCUGAGCAGUGGAUGGGCAGGUCCAUUCGUGAAA